rnacentral:rRNA from 1 species
UGAGGAAUAUUGGACAAUGGGCGCAAGCCUGAUCCAGCCAUGCCGCGUGUGUGAAGAAGGUCUUCGGAUUGUAAAGCACUUUAAGUUGGGAGAAAGGGCAGUAACCUAAUACGUUGCUGUCUUGACGUUACCGACAGAAUAAGCACCGGCUAACUCUGUGCCAGCAGCCGCGGUAAUACAGAGGGUGCAAGCGUUAAUCGGAAUUACUGGGCGUAAAGCGCGCGUAGGUGGUUUGUUAAGUUGGAUGUGAAAUCCCCGGGCUCAACCUGGGAACUGCAUUCAAAACUGACAAGCUAGAGUAUGGUAGAGGGUGGUGGAAUUUCCUGUGUAGCGGUGAAAUGCGUAGAUAUAGGAAGGAACACCAGUGGCGAAGGCGACCACCUGGACUGAUACUGACACUGAGGUGCGAAAGCGUGGGGAGCAAACAGGAUUAGAUACCCCCGUAGUCCCUGAGCGGGCUGGCAAGGCGCAU